AAGUGCCGUUUUGAGGCACUUUUCCCUCGGGUCUGCUGGAAAUCAUUUGAUUUUAUAUUAGAAAAUCAUGCUUAUCCAGCAAUAUUUGUCUUUAGUAUCACUUAAACAGGUUUAAAAUUAAUUCCUCACCUUCUGAUAGCAUUGUAUUGUGUUUAUAAGAUCCAUCUACACAAUCUACAUUAAGCUUGACAUACAAGUUAUUUUUUAAAAAUGCUGAGAUGUGAGCUUGAAAAAAGACAAAGAAUGUGUUUUUUCACAACAGGAAAUCUAGUUGUGAUAAUAAUCACAUCUUAGCUAUAAUAAAUAUGCAGUGUUGCUGACACAAAUAGGCUUACCGAGUAAUUAGAUUUUUUUUUCCUUUCUUUUUUUUUUCUCAUUUUCAGUUUGUUGUUUGAUUCUUGGUUAAAUAUUGAGAGGCACAGAAGACUCGGUCACACAAAAAACACUGAUGUUUGCAGUAGGCCUGUAAAAAUCAAUCAAAGAAAGCUGAGUAAUUUUCAAAUAAAUACUUUAAACAGUUACAACUUUCACUUUCUUAUAUGACAUUUGCAGCUAGCUUUCACCCACUGGUUAGUUUUAAGGACUAAAAACAAUUUUUUAGGGGGACACGAUUGUGGCUGUGGGUUAAAAUACACUGCUCCACAGAGGUAACCCUUCAAGUUGAAACAUGCCAAGUUGGGAGGAAAAGUGAUGUCUAAUGCCAACUUUAUGGUUUAUGCACUAGGACACCUUGUUCCCUAUAGGACAAUAGAUUUGUUAAAAGCAGAUUAUUUUAUUCCUCGGAAAUGAAAAUGACCGAUUACAUGUACAUUUUCAGACCAGGUAUGGUAAUUAAGCAGUAUAAAGUCCAUGUCGAAUGUAAUAUGUGGUGCUCCAGUGGGUCAGGCAGAAGGCUUUUAUCUGGGAGAGUGGGGUUAGGGUCCUGUGUGAAGCCAAAAGCAGCACCGAAUUACAUUUGCCAAGUAUCAAACACCUGAGUAUCCAUGCACUGAAGGAAAAAGAGGAAAAUGGCUUUUUUUCUCACCUUUUCUGCUCACUGCAGCUUUAAAUUGUCAGUUGUGGGGGGAUAUUAUCAUUAUAUCCACCACAGAAGUAUAAUUACUCUUAUUUAAGUUAGAAUCAAAGUUAAUGAGCUGAUUACAGCCUUAGAUGCUCAUGUGGGGCCAUUCUGGCUGUUCCCAGGCUGAGGUUUAAAUCUGAAGGUUGUUGUGUUUUCGCCAUCUUAGAUUCUGACUCCGGAACAACCUUCCUGAGGAGAUGAGAGGGCAGACAGAGGAUACCUGCGUGCAGCUCAUAGGAUUGAUUUCGUUGGCAGAGAAGCAAACUGCGAUAAUAGCUGAACAAGCAGGAAGAGGACAGCUGGAUACUUUUACCUGCGCUCCCUAACAAGAAGAAGGGCUGCGUCCUUCUGAAUCUCACAACACACACACAUACACCUCAACCACUCUUAUCUUCACUCCCUACGCACUAACAUUCCGGAACGGAAUGUUCCAGUAAGAUAGCCACAUACUGUUAUAUAGUCAUUUUUCUGAGAAGAGCAAAAAUACGCCGCCCUGUUGUGUGGGCACCAGUGACUAUAAAUGCACGAAUAAAG